UUUCCACAAUAGACACAGGAAAAAGAAGUCCUCAUGCUUUCUGUCUGUCUGAUUGUGGCAGCCAAGACUGAAUGGGGGAAUACAGGA
rnacentral:snoRNA from 1 species